UGUUCACCGAGCUGUAGAUAAUGAGAGG
rnacentral:piRNA from 1 species